AGAGUUUGAUCCUGGCUCAGGAUAAACGCUGGCGGCGUGCCUAACACAUGCAAGUCGCACGUCCUGCUUUCGGGCAGGGAGUGGCGGACGGGUGAGUAACACAUGGGAACCUACCCACCAGUGAGGGAUACCGGCGCGAAAGCGCCGACAAGCCCGCAUGGACUCGAGCGAUCGAGUAAAGCCUUUCGGGGCGCUGGUGG
rnacentral:rRNA from 1 species